UGAAUAUUGGUGUUUUGCAUAAAAAGUUUUGAUCUUUUAGGAAAUAGUUAAGUUUAUUAUAUUCAU
rnacentral:tRNA from 1 species